rnacentral:rRNA from 1 species
AGUAACACGUGGAUAACCUACCUAUAAGACUGGGAUAACUUCGGGAAACCGUAGCUAAUACCGUAUAAUAUUUUGAACCGCAUGGUUCAAAAGUGAAAGACGGUCUUGCUGUCACUUAUAGAUGGAUCUGCGCUGCAUUAGCUAGUUGGUAAGGUAACGGCUUACCAAGGCAACGAUGCAUAGCCGACCUGAGAGGGUGAUCGGCCACACUGGAACUGAGACACGGUCCAG